AUUCUGGUUGAUCCUGCCAGAGGUUACUGCUAUCGGGGUUCGAUUAAGCCAUGCAAGUUAAAUGUUUUUCGUAAACAUAGCGAACUGCUCAGUAACACGUGGAUAACUUAACCUUAGGUCCGGCAUAACCCCGGGAAACUGGGGAUAAUUCCGGAUGUAUCAAGGAUGCUGGAAUGCCCUUUGGUUCAAAGCUUUUGUGCCUAAGGAUAGGUCUGCGGUCUAUCAGGUNGUAGUGGGUGUAACGUACCUACUAGCCGACGACGGAUACGGGUUGUGAGAGCAAGAGCCCGGAGAUGGAUUCUGAGACACGAAUCCAGGCCCUACGGGGUGCAGCAGGCGCGAACACUUUACAAUGCGGGAAACCGCGAUAAGGGAACCCCGAGUGCCAGUACUAAGUGCUGGCUGUCUAGAUGAAUAGAUAUCAUUUAAUAGCAAGGGCCGGGCAAGACCGGUGCCAGCCGCCGCGGUAACACCGGCGGCCCGAGUGGUAACCGAUAUUAUUGGGUCUAAAGGGUCCGUAGCCUGUUUAAUAAGUCCUUUGGGAAAUCUGGCAGCUUAACUGUCAGGCUGCUAAAGGAUACUGUUAAACUUGGGACCGGUAGACGUAGGGGGUACUCCAGGGGUAGGAGUGAAAUCUUGUAAUCCCUGGGGGACCAUCUGUGGCGAAGGCGCCCUACGAGAACGGGUCCGACGGUGAGGGACGAAAGCUAGGGGAGCAAACCGGAUUAGAUACCCGGGUAGUCCUAGCUGUAAACGAUGCUCGCUAGGUGUCAGGCACGGUGCGUCCGUGUCUGGUGCCGCAGGGAAGCCGUUAAGCGAGCCACCUGGGGAGUACGGUCGCAAGGCUGAAACUUAAAGGAAUUGGCGGGGGAGCACUACAACGGGUGGAGCCUGCGGUUUAAUUGGAUUCAACGCCGGAAAACUCACCGGGAGCGACAGCACUAUGUAGGUCAGGCUGAAGGUCUUACCUGAAUCGCUGAGAGGAGGUGCAUGGCCGUCGUCAGUUCGUACUGUGAAGCAUCCUGUUAAGUCAGGCAACGAGCGAGACCCGCGCCCACAGUUGCCAGCAUGUUCUUCGGAACGAUGGGACCACUGUGGGGACCGCCGCUGCUAAAGCGGAGGAAGGAACGGGCUACGGUAGGUCAGUAUGCCCCGAAUCUCCCGGGCUACACGCGGGCUACAAUGGUUAGGACAAUGGGUACCUACCUCGAAAGGGGAUGGAAAUCUCUAAACCUAAUCGUAGUUCGGAUUGAGGGCUGUAACUCGCCCUCAUGAAGCUGGAAUCCGCAGUAAUCGCGUUUCAACAUAGCGCGGUGAAUACGUCCCUGCUCCUUGCACACACCGCCCGUCAAACCAUGCGAGUGGGGUCUGGGUGAGGGCGUGCUUCUAACACGUUCGAACCUGGGCUUCGCAAGUGGGGUUAAGUCGUAACAAGGUAGCCGUAGGGGAAUCUGCGGCUGGAUCACCUCCU
rnacentral:rRNA from 1 species